GUGGGGAAUCUUGCGCAAUGGGCGAAAGCCUGACGCAGCCAUGCCGCGUGAAUGAUGAAGGUCUUAGGAUUGUAAAAUUCUUUCACCGGGGACGAUAAUGACGGUACCCGGAGAAGAAGCUCCGGCUAACUUCGUGCCAGCAGCCGCGGUAAUACGAAGGGGGCUAGCGUUGCUCGGAAUUACUGGGCGUAAAGGGCGCGUAGGCGGACAGCUUAGUCAGAGGUGAAAGCCCAGGGCUCAACCUUGGAAUUGCCUUUGAUACUGGCUAUCUUGAGUAUGGAAGAGGUAUGUGGAACUCCGAGUGUAGAGGUGAAAUUCGUAGAUAUUCGGAAGAACACCAGUGGCGAAGGCGACAUACUGGUCCAUUACUGACGCUGAGGCUCGAAAGCGUGGGGAGCAAACAGGAUUAGAUACCCUAGUAGUCC
rnacentral:rRNA from 1 species